rnacentral:lncRNA from 1 species
AUUUAUUUAUUUUAUGUAUAAGAGUACAGAUGGUUGUGAGCCACCAUGUGGUUGCUGGGAUUUAAACAACCUUCGGAAGAACAGUCAGUGCCCUUACCCGCUGAGCCAUCUCUCCAGAAUUUAUUUAUGGAUGGAUGGAAGUAGGGUCUUGCUCUGUGUCCCUGGCUGUCCUGGAACUUGCUAUGUAGACCAGGCUGGACUACAGCUUACAGAUCCAUCUACUUCUGCCUCCUAAGUGCUUAAAGGUGUACCACCAUGCUCAGCUAGAAAAGGUCGUGAUAGUACUUGAUAUUCUAGGAUUUGUGAGGGUUUUUUUUUUCUUCCCCCUUUCUUUUAGCACAAUUUUGUUUGUGUCUAGGCUGGCCCAAAAUUCACUAUAUUACCCAGGCUGUCCAUGAACACAUGAUUCUUCUGUCUUACUCUCCCCAAUACUAGGAUUACAGGUAUGUAGUAGUAUCAUGCCUAGUAAAGUAUUUGUACCUUUUAAAAAUUAUUUUAGAUUUAUUUACUUUGUACAAAACGUUUUGCUUGCAUAUAUGUAUAUGCAUACCUGUUACCUUGCAAAGUCUGAAGAGGGUGUUGGAUCCUGCAACUGGCAUUAUGGAUGAUUGUGAGGCAUUAUAUGGGUACUGGGAAUCAAAACUAGGUCCUUACCCUGUCCUGAAAAAAACCAAAAAACCAAAAACAAAAACCUAGGUCCUUUAUAGCCAUGUCUAAUUUGUCUUUGCUUUUUAAAGUAGGGUCUGGCUGUGUGAAUGAGGCUGGCCUGUACGUGAUAUCCUCCCACCUUGGCCUCCUAAACAGCUGGGACUAUAAACAAAAUAACAGCAUGCCUGGCUUUCCACAGAAAAUAGUUUCAAUUAAUAUUCUAUGGUUUUUAUUAUGUGCUUAAAAUUAGUUCAUUUGGAAUAAUUUUGUUAAGUUUGUGUUUUAAUGUCUUAAUGUGAUUUCAAGAAUUAGUUUGGAAUACUGUUGAAAAUUAUCUGAAUUCUGUAUUUUGUCAGUCUAACUCAAAAAAUUUUAAAAAAUGCUGUGGAAAUGAGAGGGUUUUCUGUAUAGAUAAAUGACAGAGAUAAGACAGGAACUUUAGCAUUUCCUGAAUUUCAGUCAUGUUCAUAUGUUCUCAGAAACAUAGCAUUGUUUUGAUCAUUUUGUACCCAUGAUGGAUUUGUUAGAUGUCUUUAGGUUUUGUCAUUUGAAUAGAGGCUAUAUCUAUGUAGGCUUUUCUGGGUGUGCCUCUCUAUGAAUGGUCUGAACCAGUUGCUCUGCUAUCCUCUUUCUCCAGGUGCCUCCAAAAUCUUAUUGAUAUAGCGGUCUUCUCUGCCAGGCAGGGUAGUAUAAACUUAGGAUCCUAUCAUUUGGGAGGCUGAGGCAGGGGGUUCAUGAGCUCAAGGCUAGCCUGACAUGUGAGACCCUGUCUCAAAGAAAAAAUCAAUACUAAUC